AUAUUGCGCAAUGGGGGAAACCCUGACGCAGCAACGCCGCGUGAGUGAGGAAGGUCUUCGGAUUGUAAAACUCUUUUAUUAGGGAAAAAUGUCCUUUCGGUUAAUACCCGAGAGGAGUGAUGGUACCUAAGGAAUAAGCACCGGCUAACUUCGUGCCAGCAGCCGCGGUAAUACGAAGGGUGCAAGCGUUGUUCGGAAUCAUUGGGCGUAAAGCGCGCGCAGGCGGAUUGGCAAGUCAGAUGUGAAAUCUCGAAGCUCAACUUCGAAACUGCGUCUGAAACUGCUUGUCUAGAAUGUCGGAGGGGGCAGGGGAAUUUCACGUGUAGGGGUAAAAUCCGUAGAGAUGUGAAGGAACACCGGAGGCGAAGGCGCCUGCCUGGACGACUAUUGACGCUGAGGCGCGAAAGCGUGGGGAGCAAACAGG
rnacentral:rRNA from 1 species